CUAUUUAACAUAACGAAUUAAAGGUCUCGUCUUCACUUAAGCAAACUUUUCUGGUUAUUAAGCAACCGCUUGUAUUAUCAAACCUUCACUAAUUUCCAAUAGCUUCCGUAGCCAACUCAACUCAAGUACACCACAAGUAAGAACCUCCUUCAGAAAUAUCUCCAUGGCUCGUGUGGCUUCAAACCCCUUAGGCCUCCAUAGAUUCCGGCCGUAUUUUCAGGCCGCUCAACCUCCACUGCCCCUAAUCCAAACCUCUUUUCCUUGCCAAAUCAAGCCUCGCCGGUUCCCAACCGUUGUAGCCUGCCAAACUGACCCCAACCCCACCAAAACCCCCACAAAGGAAGAGGAGCUUGUUGAGCCUGCUUCUGUAAGUGAUACUAAAAGCGAGGGUUUAUCUUCUUCUCCGGGAUCUGGAUUUCCUGAAUUUCCAAAUAAAGAUGUAAAUAAGCAAAUAGCAGUGGUUUCUGUGCUUGCAGCACUGGGACUUUUCUUAUCGGCACGGCUGGAUUUCGGUGUUUCGUUAAAGGAUCUCUCUGCUGCUGCUGUACCUUAUGAAGAGGCGCUCUCAAAUGGGAAGCCCACGGUUGUGGAGUUCUAUGCAGAUUGGUGUGAAGUGUGUCGGGAGUUAGCUCCAGACGUUUACAAAGUUGAGCAGCAGUACAAGGAUCGUGUUAAUUUUGUUAUGCUGAAUGUUGACAACACAAAGUGGGAGCAAGAGCUUGAUGAGUUUGGUGUUGAGGGUAUUCCACACUUUGCAUUCCUUGACAAAAAUGGAAAUGAAGAGGGGAAUGUAGUUGGCAGAUUUCCAAGGCAGUACCUCCUUGAGAAUGUGGAUGCUCUUGCCCGUGGUGAAGCAAGUGUUCCCCAUGCUCGUGUUGUAGGACAAUAUUCAAGUGCCCAAUCCAGGAACGUGCAUCAAGUUGUUGAUCCUAGAAGUCAUGGAUAGAUACUAUAUUCUCUUUGAAAAGCGACUCAACAGCUUGUUACAUGAAGUACAGGUUCAGGGUUAAAUGUUUUAAAUCGGAUUCGACUUCCAAUUGUUGUUCAUUUGCUUAUAAGCAGUUUACCUCAUGCAGACGUAUACAUUUUAUACAGUUUAGAUUUGUUUCUUAAUUGGAGAAUUUCUGUUCCCUGCAUUCUGUAACCUGUAAGAAUUUCUAUACAAAAUAUCAAAUGAUAAGUAUUCCUGAUAUUACUUGUAAA